rnacentral:lncRNA from 1 species
GCAUAGAUAGUUAACUACAUAACAAAGGUUUUUUUUUUAAUUUUAAAGGAGAGGUUAUAUCUGUAAAAGUCAAAGGGGCUGGGGAAGGACCGUGAGGGGUGUGGCCAAUGUUGGGAUGAAGUGGUGGAGGAAAGAUCCAGAAAGACUCCAGUGCCAGAUGAAGUUAAGGUCUCCAUUUGAUUUGUAUUCAAACUUAUAAGAGUUAAAAGCAGCAGGAAAGGCUUACGGAGAUUAAAAAGCAAGAAACCAUUUCGUUAGGUCUGUGCUUCUGUGGGUUGAACUUGCUACACACACAAACUGACAUGUGCACUUAAAUUAUUAUCGUUCAAUUAUGUAUUUCAGGGGUUGGCA